CUUGUUUUUGAUGUAUCGUUUGCAUAUUUUUUUGCCACUGAUAUAAUAUAUUUUGUGCCCUUAUUUAGGAUGAUGAGUGUUGUACUUAGUUAAUAUAUUUAUUCAAACUACUCCCAAUUUCAUCUCUUUUUUUUUGCUUUUGUUUUAACUUACUUUUUUCAGUUGCAUACUCUUUAAAGGUCCUGUAUAAACAAAGCUAUUAAUAUUGAUGCAAAAUAAGACAGUGUUUGUUUUAACUUUCACUUCCUUGUGGCUCUACAGCCUAAGAGAACCUCUGCACGGCUGGCAUCAAAACCGAAACCUGCAGCAGUGGAGGCUAAGAAAAAGGCUGUUGCAAAGAGGGCACCCAAAACAAAGAAAGCCAAACCCGCUGAGAAUGGGAGCACCAAGGCUGAGGAGCCCAAGGCUGAAGCCACUGAAGCCAAAUGAAUAGUGGUUGAUGUGCUCACUCUGUGUACUUGGUGAUUGUACAGUUUUAAAUAAGUAUUUUUUACCAAGUUUUAUAUUACAAAUGUCAUUUAUAGUUUUGUUUUUGGCUUGCACUUGAUGUAACAAAAUUUUGUUUUCACAUUCAUAUCCAUUUUAUAUCAAUCUUAAAAACGGAUACCGUCCAUAUCCUGUAGUUGUGGCAUUUUUUAGUUUGUCUAAUCCAGAUUUGUUUUAAACUUCUAAACAACAGAUGUAACAGCUUUUCCAACAAGUUGGAUUUUGAAUCUAAUUGUAAACAUAAGGCAGCUAAAGCAUAAAAUUUUGCAGGAGAAUAUGAAUUUGCCGUUUAUCUCCUUGUAGUGUAAUGUUGAACUAAUAAAAUUAUUGCUUUCCAAAUGUUUUAAAAACAUUGUAUGUUGAUGUAAAAUGCCACAGACAAAAAAAAGAAUACUGUUAUUAGGUCAAAAAAAUGUUUAAGUUUGAUGCGUCCCAAAAACAUGGCUGAUGUGAACCCAGUCAUCUGAUAAAAACUUCUGUUAAGUUAUGUUUCUGUUUUCUGCUUUUCUGACUCCAAUGGUUGAUCUUAAUGUUCUUGAAUAAAAAUUUUCAAAAUGUCCUUUUUGGGGUCACUGUUGAGAUGGAAAUCCUCGAUGAAGGAACAGAAAAAUGGAAAUGCUGCGACACAACGUUUGAAAAGGUGAUGCGGCGACCUUGAAAAGGUUUCAUCAUAAACAAACUGCAGGCUCCACCAUUUUGGCAGGACAUCCAUUUUAGAUAGUUUACAUCCACGGGGUCUCAUCCCUACUUGUGACUGCUCGGGUAUUGCUGUUAGGCUCGGCUUUCUAUUUUCAACAGGCUAGUUAAUUUUCACACUUCUCUAUGUGGAAAUGUUACUGGUAUAAUUUGUAAUUUAAUAUAACUUGUUACUAAAUUAUCACCCAAGGAUUGGCACUUAAAUGUUUUAAACAUUUAAGGUUGUCAUGUACAUGAAAUUUUAAGCUGCUACUAGUGUUUUUUGUACCUGUCUUGGGUAUGUUUAAACUUGUUAGCACUAUAAUCUAAUGAGAGAAAAAAUAAACCUUAAGUCAAGGUGAUCUCAUUGCAUUAACCAUUAAAAUACAAAAAGUGUGAUAUGCAAAAUGUUUAUCGGUAAUUUGAGCAAUCAUUAAUGUAGAGCGCUAGAAAAAUAUUUUAUUCAAGUGGAAGUUAUCUCACCAAAGCCUACAACACAUGGGCCUUAAAGCUAUACACUAAAUAAACAAAUGCCACAUUUGAUCACCAACUUAAACACAACAGUGUAUAUUACUGUCACCUAAAAACUAUAAAUUUAAAGAAUUCAAAAUUCGCCACUUAAGUCCAAUAAAAAUAAUCAGUGUAUAGUCACAGAUUCAUUUAAGAAUUUAUUGCAUUCACCUUUAAACUUAAAGGUGCCUUUUAAUUUUGUAUGUUUUUAGCUCGUUCUUUGCUCUUCCACAUUUUGUAUUGGAGUCCAGGUCUAAAGCAUAGGCUGUCUAAAAUGCAGUCUAAAAUAGUGUUAAUUUUCAUGUGUGUAUUAUCUCAGCUAACAGGCUGUUAAAAACCAUCAGAUCAAUGUAAUUUUAACUUAAUAAAUCUUAGUGAGUUUUAGUUUUCACUUCAAUUGGAAUAUUUUACAUAACAGUAUCCUACUGGAUGUUGACGCUCCAGGGGCUUAAACCUCUGGAAAUCCUCAUCGCUGUCUUUGCUCCACAGCACCAGCAGGAGUCAGUGCCACAUCACCACAGAGAGAUGAGGUGCAUAUCGUUGUUCCUGCGGGGGUCUCCCUCUCCUUUGGCCUAUACAGCUCGUGAAACUCGGUCAAACAUGACGCAUUAUUGAGGGUGCUGACGUAUCUCUGAGGAUGUCAUCCUUUUUUUUAGGCUAGUGUAUUAGUGCUUCUAUACAGACAAAGCAGCCAGUGCUAAUAAUAUUCAAAUAUGGUGCAGGUUUAAUCUUUCUUUCUUUUUCUUUCUUUCAUUCGUAACAGGCAAUACAGAGCAAGGCAAAAGUACAAUUGAUUUUAUUAGUUUAAAUUAUUCCAAAAAUAUGUAUAACAGGUUUACCACACUUUUCAGAGUAAUGCUCAGAAUUCAUUGUUGAAUAAUCUGUAUAAAAUAUUGGUUUUUGAUCUGAGAGACAGACGUUUUCAUGGAAAUGGAAGGUUGCUCAUCUA
ensembl:lncRNA